UACGUAGGGGGCGAGCGUUGUCCGGAAUCAUUGGGCGUAAAGAGCGUGUAGGCGGCUUGGCAAGUCUGACGUGAAAGCCCGCGGCUCAACCGCGGAUUGUCGUUGGAAACUGCCUCGCUAGAGUCCGGAAGAGGAGAGCGGAAUUCCUGGUGUAGCGGUGGAAUGCGCAGAUAUCAGGAAGAACACCGUGGCGAAGGCGGCUCUCUGGGACGGUACUGACGCUGAGACGC
rnacentral:rRNA from 1 species